AGUGAGUAAAGAGGAUUGAGUGUUAUAAAGUAAGGCGCUAGAUUCCGCUGACAAUGUGCUAACAGAGUCGACAACAAAUGCAGUCUCAUUUUUAAGAGAGGGAGAUUUGGAAUUAACGCCUUUUGGUGAAACAGCUAAAGAGCAAGGGCCCACUGAUAGAGAAUAUGAACAGGCAGCUAAUAUUUUAGGUUCUAUACUUGAAGAUGAAGUGGGAGUAUGAGCAGUAAGUUGUUCCUCAUUGGAAGAAACUAACAUACUGGGUAGACAGGUAUUUGAAAAUAAUGAGAAGGAAAGAGUAGAAAAGCUCUUCACAGUCGAUGAAGUUGCAGCUCAAAGUUCAGUGAAUUAUUAAAAAAAUGAUACUGAAGAAAAAAUAAUUGGACAUAAACAGGCUCAGAUUGCUUGUUAAGAGGUAGUGGUCAAAGCGAAUAGUGUUUAACUAACUGAAAGCGAUACAACGGCGGAAAAUUAAGGGACGAUUUAAAAAGGAAGAAAAAAAAAGAGUGAGGUGACGAUUAAAAAAAAGGGAAAAAUUACUGGGUUUUCAAGGACGCUAAAGAGAUAUCAAUAAUGGAAGGGGUAAUAUAAAGGAAUCGAAAGAGUAAAUUGCAAAGGACUUGUAAAAAGCCAAGACGAAAGAACCCAAUAAUAUAUAGUGAAAAAAGGCUAUAUAAAUAUUAAAAGAAUGCAAAAUGAAGCGGAAGAAAUUAGAUGCGAUAAAUAUAUGUUUCCAAAAAGGUUCGGUG